UAUAAAGAGUCUUUUAGUGAAGAAAAUGAGAAUCAGUUCAGCCCAGAAUGAAGAAUGAGGCCAACUGAGAGAACACAAAAAUGGAUUUCAUGGAGGAUGGUUGCCAUCUCUGAUUGGCCUAUGAUUUCUCUGUCCGAACAAACAAACAACCCUCCUUAUGAAAAUUCCAAAAAAAAGAAAAAAAAAUUAUUACUUCUUUCGUUCCAUUUUUACUUGGUUUUGCAAAAUGUCCACAAAUUGCUGUAGAAAAGAUGGAAAGAGGCAGUGAUGACAUUGCUGUGUGAUGAUUCUGGGCUGAAAUUUGGGGCAUGGAGAAAACCCGACUCGUAUCUUGGCGGGGCAAAACCCGAAUCAUGCAAAACCGGUUCAUUUGUUUUUGCAGCCAUGGCGUUGUCGUCUUCUUCUCCUCUUUGCCCCCAUUUUACACAGAUCUGAGCCUCAUUUUCGAAUUCUGACGGAAACCCAGUUCAUUUUAGCUCAAAAGACUGAGGCAAUCGGAGAAAAUGGGGAUUUUUUUUUCAUCUCCGCAUCCACUGAAUCAGUGGCGUAGCCGGAAAUUUCAUGAAGGAUGUUCAUAAAUGUGGACAUGGACUGUAGUAAUAACCGAUACGAUAAGCUAAACACAUGCUCACAUUUCCACUACCUAAUUUUGGAACUGUUGGGAGAUUAUUGAUCAAAAGCACCAUAAUGGCCAAGUUAAUGGUGUAUUCUCAUUCCUGAUUAGAGGUACCAGAUGGGCAAAUUAAUUGGUCAAAGCAAUAGAGAUAGAGAGAAGAGGAAGCUCCAACUAUGACCAAAAAGAAUAG